rnacentral:lncRNA from 1 species
CGUGCAUGUGUGUUAGGUGGGGGUCUGUAUGCCUCUCGCUCUCUCUCUGUCUCUCCACGCCCCCAAUCUUUCAUCCCAGUGCACCCAUAGGUUAGAUGCAAAGGUAACAGAAAGACCGGGGGCUCUAUAAAGACCCGCUUUGUUCAUUCGAUCUCUCUGCUGCUUUUUUUUAUUUCUUCGGUCUUUCUUGUUACCAUCACCAUACAUCAAAAUGCCCAGCAAGAGGAAGAAGAACAGGCGUCGCAUGAGGAGGGUGCAGGCCCAGAGGAGAAUCCUUGAAGAGCAACAUGCGGCCAACCCAACAGUCAAAGCGGGUCCCGGGAUUGCAGUCUGUGCGCCCCCUGCAGCGAUCCCAAAGAAAGCGGCUAAAGCUCAUGCACCCGCUCCAGCUCCAGUUAAGAUCCCCAUGGUCGUUCCCAUUGCAGUCCCAAUUGUUGAGAUCCCCAUAAAAGAACCAGAACCAGUUGUCGAAGAACCUGUCGCCAAGCCCGUCCCAGUCGAGGUAGUGGCACCAGAGCCUGAGGCUGUGGUGUUGGAACUGGCACCAGUAGAAGUUGAGGUUGAAGUCCCAGUCGAGGUAGUGGCACCAGAGCCUGAGGCUGUGGUGUUGGAACAGGCACCAGUAGAAGUUGAGGUUGAAGUCCCAGUCGAGGUAGCGGCACCAGAGCCUGAGGCUGUGGUGUUGGAACAGGCACCAGUAGAAGUUGAGGUUGAAGUCCCAGUCGAGGUAGUGGCACCAGAGCCUGAGGCUGUGGUGUUGGAACAGGCACCAGUAGAAGUUGAGGUUGAAGUACCAGCCCCGGUCCCUGAAGAAGCACCAGUCAUUGAGACUCCACCAGAGGAGCCCGCUAUAGUUGAGGCUGCAGUUGUACAAGAGGCUGAACCUAUCAUUCCUGAAACAGAACCAGUAACAGAGGUCAUACCUCCAGCUGAGGCUCCAGUAGAAGCCCUCGUUGAGACUGAGAUUCAGACAGAGGAGACUACAACCGUAACAACAGAGACUGAACUGACGCAUGAUGUCUGCGAGCCAGAGACUGAAGUGAAGGCUGAGGCCUGGGUCGCGGCCGUUGCAGACGAUGUCGCCAUACCAGAGCCCGUAACUGAAACAGCUGAAGAGGAGGCGGUUACAGAAACAGUGGUGGUGGAGGAUGUUUUCGCAGAGAUACCUGAGCCAGAACUGACUGAAGCUGAGGUUGAGGAGGAUGAAGCUGAAAUAGAAGUGUUGGCUGAAGAAGAUGCACCUGAAGUCCCUGCUGAGCCUUUUGCAACCACAGAGGAUGUUCCUGCCCAAUCUGUGGAAAUCCCAGAGGUGCCAGCCACCGUCCCUGAGGUAGAAGAGGCUGUAACUGAAGUCAAAGAGGACACUGCUGACAGCCUGGUUGAUGACUUUGUUGUCACAGAAUCUGUCUCAGACGUGGAGGUCGCCAUUGCUGAGUCUGCUGCUGUCCAGCCGGAAAUUGUGGAAGUGAGUGACACCCCUUCAGAAUCUGUGGAUGCGACGCCCGUUGCUGCACCUGCAGAGGAAAUGGUCAUUGACGCCACUGCUGAGCAGACAUGCUUGGAUAUUCUGUCAGAGCUGAAGCCAGAAAUGUGUGACAUGCCCUGUCAGAUGCAGCGUGCUGUGGAGUCUGUGCAGCUCAACUCAAUGGAGAUGUCAGUGGAGGCAAAGCUGAAUGGACACAUUGUUCCAGAGCUCGCCAUUGAGGGCUAGAUCCACUUCACACAGCUUGGAAGACCUUCUUUGUCUUU